UUUGUUUUUCCGCUGGUCAGGGAGAGGGGAAACAAGAUGCCCAUGGAUACUCUCAUCAGUGGUUUUAGCUCUCAUCCAGAUUGCUGUGAAGGCCUGACUUUAAAUUCUCCAAGCAUUUCUCAGGAGACUGAAAUAACCAAAUACUUUGCCCUAUUUCUGGAUGAGAAGACUCAAAAUGGGUUAACACCAGGACCAAGUGAACAGGCAACGACUGGAUCCCUAAGACAUUCCUUGAUGGGUGGCAACUUUGCUCAAUUGCAGUGUGAGCGGAGGGGUCAGACAAGAGAGCCCAGGCUUGCUGGACAGCAGGCCUCAUCCCCCAGCCCCCUGCGGCCCAAGCAGAUGGGAGUUGGCUCUUCCACAAUGGGUGUCCGGCCAUGGAGGAGAUUCUCUUUUCUUUGCUUCACAGCUCACCUGUGUGUUCCCUCUGAUGAACUGCCUGAAAAGCCCUGUCUGUGACCGUUCACCUCACAAGUACCCUCACCCAUUCCCAGGAUGCGAGGGGGGCUGUGACUGCCAGCAUCCCAUGGUCGUGGUGCACAAGGCUGUCAUCCAGGCAUGGCAGAGGAAAGUCCCUAGCCUGUUUCUAAUUCAGUUUCGAGGAACGCUUCUUACCAAAAAUGGGACUGAUGACCAUUCUGGGGGAAACAAAGGUUCAGCAAGGCUACUGUCUGGGCAUCUCGACUCUGCAGUAUCAAGAGUGGAGAGUUGCGGGUUGGAGAUGUGUGCUUGGAACAAUCCACUCUCCCUAAUGGCCCCAGGCUCUGUCAAUCACAGUGACACAGCUGCCAGAUUUACAAGCCCUGGCACACUUGAGAUGAACCCAGAACCUUCUAUCGCCUUGAUGUGCUUCAUUUUCUGCCAAGGCUCUUGGCUCUUCUUGGGGGUUCAGUGGGAGACUUUCAAGCUCUUUCCACAUACAUGCCAUCUCUACCAGCAUUUUGCAAUCCUAACCACACAAGAGAAUCUCCUGGGGAGCUUUCUAAACUCCCUGUUCCCAGGCCAUCCCCCAGAUCAACUGAAUCCAGCUCUCAGGGUGAGGCUGAGGCACUGGGACAUGUUUCAUACCCCCAGGUGAUUGCCAUGUGCAGCCCAGGCUGAGAACCAGCUCUCUUCCUAGGACUAGUUCUGUUCUGCUGCUGGGGACCACACUGGGGUAUGGCUGAGGUCUCUGCAGGCAUGCCAUAGAAGGAGGUUGAGGGAUCCCCAGAACCUCAGAAUUUCUCCAGGAUCAUGAAGUUCAGGAAGCCUCUACAUUGCCAAGACUCUCCAGCCACCAAGGUGGGCUCACCCAGACCCUGGGACUUGACACCAGCCCCCACAUGCCCACUGCCCACCAGCAUAUGGCCCAACUCACUGGU